AGAAAAAAAAAAAAAAAAAAAAAAAAACAUAACACACAUAACUUUCCCUUUCCAUUCUCCUCUCACUUCCGUUAGCUCUCUGUCCCUCAUUCCUCUUCUUCCAUUUCUUUUUCCUUCCUUUCCCAAAUCAAUCAUCCUUAAGAAUAAUUGGUCAUCUAAGUAAAGCAACUUCAUAUUCAAGCUCUAUCGGUAGAAUUUUGGGGGUUAGGGUUUGUGCUUUGAAGUAGAAGGAGAAUACCCAUAUUGUGAGAGUUGCUCAUUGAGACUCUUUGAGAUUCGGUGGAAAUUUCUCCGGUGGUCAUUCAGAAAGGCAUCACUAGGAAUUGAGUUCUUUCGUCAUAUCUAUUCAAAGUCAAUUGUGUAGAAAGCUUCUAGCAGGGUUAAGGAUCUAUCAAUGUCACUCUUUUGGUAGG